rnacentral:rRNA from 1 species
GAGUUUGAUCGUGGCUCAGAUUGAACGCUGGCGGCAUGCCUUACACAUGCAAGUCGAACGGCAGCAUGAUCUAGCUUGCUAGAUUGAUGGCGAGUGGCGAACGGGUGAGUAAUACAUCGGAACGUGCCCUGUAGUGGGGGAUAACUAGUCGAAAGAUUAGCUAAUACCGCAUACGACCUGAGGGUGAAAGUGGGGGACCGCAAGGCCUCAUGCUAUAGGAGCGGCCGAUGUCUGAUUAGCUAGUUGGUAGGGUAAAGGCCCACCAAGGCGACGAUCAGUAGCUGGUCUGAGAGGACGAUCAGCCACACUGGGACUGAGACACGGCCCAGACUCCUACGGGAGGCAGCAGUGGGGAAUUUUGGACAAUGGGCGAAAGCCUGAUCCAGCAAUGCCGCGUGUGUGAAGAAGGCCUCGGUU